CCUACGGGAGGCAGCAGUGGGGGAUAUUGGACAAUGGGGGAACCCUUAUGCAGCGACGCCGCGUGGGUGAAGGAGUGCUUCGGCAUGUAAAGCCCUAUCGGCAGGGAAGAAGCAAGACGGUACUUGACUAAGAAGCCCCGGCCAACUACGUGCCAGCAGCCGCGGUUAUACGGAGGGGGCGAGCGUUAUCCGGAUGCACUGGGUGUAAAGGGAGCGUAGGCGGGUAUGCAAGCCAGGGGUGAAAGCCUGGGGCCCAACCCCGGGACUGCCCUUGGAACUGCAUGGCUGGAGUGCGGGAGGGGCAGGCGGAAUGCCUGGUGUAGCGGUGAAAUGCGUAGAUAUCGGGAAGAACACCGGCGGCGAAGGCGGCCUGCUGGACCGCGACUGACGUUGAGGCUCGAAAGCGUGGGGAGCGAACAGGAUUAGAUACCCCUGUAGUC
rnacentral:rRNA from 1 species